rnacentral:rRNA from 1 species
CCUACGAGUGGCAGCAGUCGGGAAUAUUGCGCAAUGGAGGAAACUCUGACGCAGUGACGCCGCGUGCAGGAAGCAGGUUUUCGUAUUGUAACCUGCUUUAGACAGGGAAGAAAAAAGACAGUACCUGUAGAAUAAGCUCCGGCUAACUCUGUGCCAUCAGCCGCGGUAAUACAGAGGUUUCAAGCGUUGUUCUGAAUCACUGUGCGUAAAGCGUGCGUAGGCUGUUUCGUAAGUCGUGUGUGAAAGGCGCGGGCUCAACCCGCGGACGGCACAUGAUACUUCGAGACUAGAGUAAUGGAGGGGGAACCGGAAUUCUCGGUGGAGCAGUGAAAUGCGUAGAUAUCGAGAGGAACACUCGUGGCGAAGGCGGGUUCCUGGACAUUAACUGACGCUGAGGCACGAAGGCCAGGGGAGCGAAAGGGAUUAGAUACCCGAGUAGUC